CAUAUCAAAUUCUAGACAGGUUUUCUUUCUCUGUUGGUGGCUUUAAGCGGAUUCAAUAUAAACAGAAGUGAAAGAGAAACAAUUUUUUUUCACCAUUUUUACUUUAGAGGAGUGGAGACAUUUGCGCUUGGGCGCUGCAGCUGAUUACAUCGGGGAGGAAGCGCGCAAGUCCCAGAAUGUGUUUAAAUUCGCUGGCAAAGCUUCUGCAGAGAAUAAAUAUGAGCCAGAGAUUCCCUUGGAAGAGAGGAAAAAGCGGUUUUCCCCACUGCCUGAAGAAGAGGGCCUGAAGAAGAGGCAGCUUUGCAUGUCUGAAGCGUACAGUCCAAGCAGAGGUUUUGCCCCCUCCUCCACAUCUACUGAGAGCAGCCGUCACGGCUUAUUUGUUCACUGUCUGGACUUUCUUCAAUCCUACCCAUCCUGACGCUUCAUGUAAGAGGUGGUGUCUGGGCAGACAAAAUUAGUUUGGGAUGAAACAAUCUAAAUUUUGUUUAUUUCAUGGUGUGGUGCUUUUGUUUGUGGAGUUAGACCAUUUGAGCUCAGCAGGCUACAUUCUAAGCUAGUGGUAAUGGCUUAUUGAGGUUUUGGUUGUGUUUUAAAGUUAUGAAAAACUUUGUUUUAUUGAAUAGUUUAAACACAGGUCAGCCGUAACACGCUGCCAGCACUCCCUCGCACAUUUAUAUUUAUAUUCAUUGUAGUAAAAGGUACAUGUGUGACUUAAAGGAGUGGUGAAUUAGCUAUAAGCGUCCCUUUUUUUGCUGAAACCGCUAACUGCUAGUGCUAGUGCCAGGAAGGUCAAAUAUUUAUAUCCUGCUUUUUGUCAUUUUGUGAAUCCAUAGACUUUCCUCUCCGACAUUUUAGUAGUCCGUUACUCCAUGUGGUGACUAGUUAAAAUAACAUUAAGAUCAAGUGUCCAAAAGAUUACCGAUUUCUAAUUCAGCAAAUAAUACUUUCUUAAAUACUAUUUUACUACAACAAUAGUGACUUUCAAACAACAUUAAGAAUUAAUUCUCCAAUAAUAUUAUUGAUUUCUAAUUCGGCAAAUAAUUCUUGUUAAUUAUUAUUUUAUUGAAAUAAUGUUUUACUUACCCUUCUGACUUGCAUUGUGAAUUGGUAGUUUAAACACAUGUGAAUUGUUCUUAAUUAGAUUAAAACUAAUUGACUUAAUUAAUGCUUGGUUCUUAAGCAUUAAUAUCCACACUGAAUUGUCAUAUCAUUGCAUAAUUUUUAUUGGUCCCCUUUUCCCUUUUUUUGUUUAUAGCUCAUUAGUUUCUUUGCUCUUACAGGUUUGCUUAGUAGUUUAAGUUAAAUUUUAAUAGCCUAGUUAAAGAGUUUGUUAAUUGAAAUAUUUAACUUUGAAUUGUUUUGUUAAUAUAUUCCUAUAUUUCUGAAAUAAGCUGUUGUGAAUUUAUUCCAUAUGUGUGCAGCGUUUGCUGUUUUGAAAAUGCCAAUGCUCGAAUCACUCUUUCAUCUAUUGUUCCAUAAUACCACACCAUAUUGGGCUGGUAUUCAUAGGAGUAACACUACAAGAUCAAUAAAAAGCUUCUGUUCGUCA